ACGUAGGGUGCAAGCGUUGUCCGGAUUUAUUGGGCGUAAAGAGCUCGUAGGCGGCUCGUCGCGUCGGAUGUGAAAACUCGGGGCUUAACCCCGAGCCUGCAUUCGAUACGGGCGAGCUAGAAUUCGGUAGGGGAGACUGGAAUUCCUGGUGUAGCGGUGAAAUGCGCAGAUAUCAGGAGGAACACCGAUGGCGAAGGCAGGUCUCUGGGCCGAUAUUGACGCUGAGGAGCGAAAGCGUGGGGAGCGAACAGG
rnacentral:rRNA from 1 species